rnacentral:tRNA from 1 species
GCGCCUAUAGCUCAGAUGGAUAGAGCGCGGCCCUCCUAAGGCUGAUAGGGUGGUUCGAGUCCACCUAGGCGCA